ACAAGACCAUGCCUAAGAGUUCACAUCCACGGGAAGGUUCGAUAUUCGAUGUCGGCUCUUCACCACAUGGAGUUGUACUAUGUUUCAAGGUUUGGGUUAUUUCCCAAUAAAAAUAGUACGUUAUUUGGGUUUAGAACAUCGUAAGACAAUUU
rnacentral:ncRNA from 1 species